rnacentral:rRNA from 1 species
CCUACGGGAGGCAGCAGUGAGGAAUAUUGGACAAUGGGCGCAAGCCUGAUCCAGCCAUGCCGCGUGCAGGAUGACGGUCCUAUGGAUUGUAAACUGCUUUUAUACGAGAAGAAACACUCCGACGUGUCGGAGCUUGACGGUAUCGUAAGAAUAAGGAUCGGCUAACUCCGUGCCAGCAGCCGCGGUAAUACGGAGGAUCCAAGCGUUAUCCGGAAUCAUUGGGUUUAAAGGGUCCGUAGGCGGUUUAAUAAGUCAGUGGUGAAAGCCCAUCGCUCAACGGUGGAACGGCCAUUGAUACUGUUAAACUUGAAUUAUUAGGAAGUAACUAGAAUAUGUAGUGUAGCGGUGAAAUGCUUAGAGAUUACAUGGAAUACCAAUUGCGAAGGCAGGUUACUACUAAUUGAUUGGCGCUGAUGGACGAAAGCGUGGGUAGCGAACAGGUAUUAGAUACCCUGGUAGUCCACGCCGUAAACGAUAGAUACUAGUCUGUGGUAGACAUCUCUAGUGGUACGUAAGACGAAGUAGAGUAAGUACGUACCGUACCGUACGGGUACGGUACGUUACGACGAAGAAGUAGAACGUAACGAAAGUAAAGUUAGUACGGACGUGAGACGUACGACCGACGGACGACGACGGAGGGGAGGAGG